UAAAUUGCAAAAGAAUUUAAUGUGGACUAUUCAGUACGACAUAAACACCUGACCAUGGCCCAGCUUAUACAUUUCAACAGUAAAUAAGUUACAUCUGAGUGUAACCCUUAACUGGACUUUCGCCUUGUCAACAGGCGCAGACACAACAAUGUACACAGCUGAGUUGUAAAAGCAGUGGACCCACUAGACCUCAAUCAGCAACGGAUGAAAUAAGUGGAGGUCUCCAGGCUCGGAGAGGUUGUGGAAAGUGCCGACAUUCCAUCUGCAGCGGAAAGUCUCCAUGUUGGCGGAGACACAGCCAGUGAGUUCCAGUAUCCAGGGCUCUAAUCUGAACUAAAGGACCACUUGUUCCGGAGCUUUCAAUCACAUCUCAUGAUCUUGAGGAGGCUUUGUGAUAAGUGGUUCUGGGGACAGCCGCGGCACUCAGCUGACCACAUCAACACUUCAGGGAGGAAGGACAACACAAGCCCGGGCUGGCUGAUUACCGAGAAGUGUCAGGACAGGAUGGCUCUUUCGCAGCUGAGAGGCAGCGCGGGGAGCAGAUGAUGAAUACCUCUGGCCUGCUUAGGGCGCUUCAGGGAAGGGGAGUUACAGGGUAAAAAUAACCUGUUUACCAGAUCCCCUCCUCAGAACUGUGCUUAGCUCAGUUAAAAUCAAUUUGACACUCAGUUAUGCGGAGCAUUUUUGUUUCUCGCUUGUCAAGAUAAAUGAGGACAUGUGGGUGGUUUGUAAACACUGUGUGUGCGACAGGGAAAAUGUGUGAAAAAGACAGAUUGCCUUAUUCGUUCAUUUUAUUUUUGGGUUGUGCGAGAGUGCUUGGGUAGAUUCCACUUUUUUUUCACAAUUCCAUUUUGCCAUACCAUUUGCAGUCUACUGAGAUAUCUCUGCUGCAAAUCCACGAGCAGGACUGAUUCCCUGUGAAAUUGAAUCUACAGGAUUGUUCAAUAUCUUUGACGUAAUUUUUUAACUACGUCAAAGUAAUUAAAAAAGCUUGAGCAUGGAAAUUCAGUCUUAACCUUGGGAACAGCAGUGCAUAGUGAAAUAGAGUCAUCUUAACUCAAAGGUCCCCCAUGUUUGAGUUAUGAAAUAACUUGGUUAGUCGGGUUUUUCAUUUACUGGAUUAUUCAAACAAAGACUUUCACAUCUGGGUAAUUCAACCUCUCAAAUUAAUUUCCAGAUUAUUUUGUGUAAUACAAAGUAUAUCAUAAAAUGGUAUAUAAAAAAUUACAUGUGAAGAAAGACAUUUAUUAGUAACUCUGUUUCCUACAAAUUAUGUUUAUAUACUACUAAUUAGCAUUACCACAUACGUUUUGAGGGGAAACAUAAUUACUAUACAUUAGGUGGCAACAUUUCUUCAAGUGAAUGAAAUGCUACUCUAUGUCAAUUUACCAUGCAGGUAUCAGCACAUAGGUAGGAGGUUUGGGCGGAAGGUGGGUAAACAAAAUUGCAGGACUCUGACACAGGAGACACUGGUUCGAAUCCUACGACCCACGUGUGGUUGGGUCUACAUGGCAAAAACACUUUGCUUGAGGUUAGGGAAAUAUGGUGGCUGUGGUUAGGCCAUGUUAAAAAGAAGUAAACACGUCAUUGCGUUGAGGCUCAAGUCAGUGUUGACUUUUUCUGUAUUACACCAAGACCACAAUCCUUCCCUAAACUUAACCCAGGGCUUAAAAAUCACCAUGAAAACUUUUAAACAUGAUUUAAUUGACAUGGGCGGAUACUCAAUUGCAAGAGUGAAUAAUUGAAAUACGCCGUCAUUGAAAAUUUUACUGCUACCUUUUUUUU